AUACGGAGGGUGCAAGCGUUAUUCGGAAUCACUGGGCGUAAAGGACGCGUAGGCGGGUUGGCAAGUCAGAUGUGAAAUCCUACAGCUUAACUGUAGAACUGCAUUUGAAACUGCUAACCUAGAGUAUGGGAGGGGGAGAUGGAAUUAGUGGUGUAGGGGUAAAAUCCGUAGAUAUCACUAGGAAUACCGAAAGCGAAGGCGAUCUCCUGGAACAAUACUGACGCUAAGGCGUGAAAGCGUGGGGAGCAAACGGGAUUAGAAACCCCAGUAGUCC
rnacentral:rRNA from 1 species